rnacentral:rRNA from 1 species
CAUUACGGGUACGGGGAUUAGGGUUCGAUUCCGGAGAGGGAGCCUGAGAAACGGCUACCACAUCCAAGGAAGGCAGCAGGCGCGCAAAUUACCCAAUCCCAACACGGGGAGGUAGUGACAAUAAAUAACAAUAUGGGGCUCUUACGGGUCUCGUAAUUGGAAUGAGUACAAUUUAAAUCUCUUAACGAGGAACAAUUGUGAGGGCAAGUCUGGUGCCAGCAGCCGCGGUAAUUCCAGCUCCAAUAGCGUAUAUUAAAGUUGUUGGCAGUUAAAAAGCUCGUAGUUGAAUUUCGGANUUUGUCGGUUGGUCGGGCUUCACUGUCCGCACUGACCUGAUGGAUUCCUACCUUCUGAAUAACCAGCAUGCUAUUAAGUUAGUGCGUUGGGGAAGCAGAGCUAUUACCUUGAAAAAAUUAGAGUGCUUAAAGCAGGCUUGUGCUUGAAUAGAUUAGCGGAAUAAUAAAAUAGUGACGGCAUGGUUCUAUUUUGUUGGUUUCUAGGAUCACCGUAAUGAUUAAUAGGGAUAGUUGGGGGCAUUAGUAUUCAAUUGUCAGAGGUGAAAUUCUUGGAUUUAUUGAAGACUAACUUCUGCGAAAGCAUUUGCCAAGGAUGUUUUCAUUAAUCAAGAACGAAAGUUAGGGGAUCGAAGACGAUCAGAUACCGUCGUAGUCUUAACCAUAAACUAUGCCGACUAGGGAUCGGACGAUGUUAAUUUUUUAAUGACUCGUUCGGCGCCUUACGGGAAACCAAUU